rnacentral:rRNA from 1 species
AAUUUGUGCCCGAAACCCUCAUGGCCAGGGCACGUCUGUCUGAGCGUCA